AUUGAACGCUGGCGGCAUGCCUAACACAUGCAAGUCGAACGGUAACAGGCCCUUCGGGUGCUGACGAGUGGUGGAUGGGUGAGUAAUACUUAGGAAUCUACCCUGUAGUGGGGGACGAACCCGGGGAAACUCGGGCUAAUACCGCAUACGCUCUACGGAGGAAAGCGGGGACCGCAAGGCCUCGCGCUAUUGGAUGAGCCUAAGCCCGAUUAGCUAGUUGGUGGGGUAAUAGCCUACCAAGGCAAUGAUCGGUAGCUGGUCUGAGAGGACGACCAGCCACACUGGGACUGAGACACGGCCCAGACUCCUACGGGAGGCAGCAGUGGGGAAUAUUGGACAAUGGGCGAAAGCCUGAUCCAGCGAUGCCGCGUGAGGGACGAA
rnacentral:rRNA from 1 species